CCACCCAGGUGCCCCUUGAGCUCCUAAGUUUUAUCCUUAAGCCUAUCCUUGCCUUUCUGCCUUAGUGGUAGGACCAGACUUUGGAGUGAUGAGCGUUGAGAGCAUGAACAUCUUCUCCUCUUGGUAAUUUUUUUUAAAGAUUUUAUUUAUUUAUUUGAGAGAGAGAGAGAGCAUGAGCGGGGGGGGGGGUGGGGCAGAGGCAGAGGGAGAAGCUGGCUCCCCCCCUGAGCAGGACCCUGGGAUCAUGACCUGAGCUGAAGGCAGCGCUUAACCAACUGAGCCACCCAGGUGCCCCUCUUCCCCUCUUGUUAAUGAGUUACCAUACUGCACAGCAAAGUGCUGUAAGGAAAAUGGAAUUGGAAUUCUGAAAAUGGAAUUGGAAUUCUACACCAGAACAUUCUGUAAAGGAAAGGAAACUCCCAGAAAUGCAUUUAAGGUUAAAACUAAAUUUUCAUGACACAAAUCAGAGAAGAGAUUCGUAUUUUCUUUCUCUUUCAUUGCCUCAAAUUAUCUUUACCCGGGGGACACACUUGAGUAGAAUGUGGGAGAAUAGAUUCAUGGUCACCAAAGUGGGAUGCACAAGGUGGUUCAUGGGGCACAAGAAGGACCUACUGACACCCCUGUAUUUAUUUAAAAAUAAAUUAAACUUUACUUAUAUUUAAUAUACAUACUUCUGGUACUUUACAUAUAUAAUAUAUACCUCAUUUUACAGGUUUUGGGAAUAUAUGAACUUUUAUUCCCAACUAAUAGAGGCAUAGAAAUAAAAAAUUGGGGGGUGGCACCUGGCUGGCUCAGUCAGUAGAGUAUAUGACUCUUGAUCUUGGGGUCAUGAGUUUGAGCCCCACAUUGGGAAUAGAGAUUACUUUAAAUUUUUUUAAAAAUUAGGGAGACUGUUGGAAAAAAGGGUGAGAAUGUAUACUUCCUGACCCUUGUGCGCUGCGUAUAAGACCAUUUAUUUUGGGCAGAAGCUUCAGGAAGGAGGCCCCAAGUUCUUUGUGGAACAAACUGGUACCGCAUGGAAAUUGCUGGAGCCUCAAAGGAAGGGAGGGAGGAGGGAGACAGGUUACCAUAGAUGAUUUUAAGAAAAUUGAAUGGAGGGGCGCCUGGGUGACUCAGUCGUUAAGCGUCUGCCUUCGGCUCAGGUCAGGAUCCCAGGGUCCUGGGAUCGAGCCCCGCAUCGGGCUCCCUGCUCGGCGGGAAGCCUGCUUCUCCCUCUCCCACUCCCCCUGCUUGUGUUCCCUCUCUCACUGUGUCUCUCUCUGUCAAAUAAAUAAAUAAAAUCUUUAAAAAAGAAAAGAAUUGAAUGGAGGGUGCCUGCUCAGCGGGGAGUCUGCCUCUCUGCUCCUCCCCCUGCUCACGCUCUCUUUCUCUCAAAUAAAUAAAUAAAAUCUUUAAAAAAAAAAAAUUUGAAUGGAGCAAAGCUCUUCUGUAUUUGACCUGGGAAAGGAAAGGGUACAGGAUGGUAUAUAAAUGUUGCCUUUGUGUGUUUUCCCAAGGACUUCCCUCAUCACAAUUGAGCAUCACAGGUAUCUGUUGAGCUUGUCUCCUCAGAAAUCACGUCGUGUUCCUCACCAUCCAGCAACCCAACCUGCACAAGACGAAACUGCACUGAGUAUAGGCAAAGUAAUAUGGCCAGUCUUUGACUCAGGCAUGUGUGAGUCUGUAAUUGAAGGAGGAACGAUUUUGUUGUUUGGAAGGAGCUCUACAGAGGAGGCGCUAAAAUGAAAAUUCCUCAUGCGUUCACCAGCGGGAAAACAAGACUAGCAUGACUACGCACGGGCGAAGGUCCUGUUUUUUAUGAAUUCCAGAGCAGUGUUUCUCCCACUUGCACGUGCAUCCGAGUCACCUGGGGAUCUAGUUGAACUGCAGAUUCUGAGUGGACCGCCACGCGUGAGUAGUACGUGCUAGGUCACUGGUUCUGAUCGCCUGCAGAGCUCGGAAAACCACUGAUGCCCAAGCCCCACUCCCAGAGCAUCUGGUUUGACUGGUCUGGGGUACGUGCCCCCCCCCGCACCCCCCUCCCUCCCGGGCAGAGAGAUUUUUUUAAAUCGCCCCACGUGGUUUUAAUAUGCACCAUGGUGGAGACAUGGCAGCUUUGCACGUGUAAGUGAACUUGUCCUCUUGGGAGGGAGGAUAUGGCUUCCUUUUGGGUCCUGAGUCAGACUGAGCCGUGUUCUUCAGCCCUUGAAUUGAAGAAAGCAUCCUUCUAACUGACAGGUUCUCGACCGGGGUGAUUGUGCCCCUCAGGAUCAAGAGACUUGGGGCAGUGUCUGGAGGUGCGUUUGCUUGUCACCCCUGGAGAGGGGGGCUACCAGCGCCGAGUGAGCAGAGGUUAGGGCUGCGGCCUUGCCUCACUGAACUGUCAGCCUUAUGAGGGUAAGGGACCCUCUCCUUUGUUGCCCGUGGUAUCCCCAACGCAGAGCACAGUUUGCCUGGGAUUUUGUAGGCAUUGCACAAAUAUUCGUUGGAUGAAUGGAUAGAUCUACUACUAGCAUAAAUGUUAACCUCGCUGGGAAAGGGAAUUGGUUGUUAACCACACAUUCAGAUUUAAUAAGAUGGAGAGGAGAAUUUGCGGCCAGGCACUGUUUUUCUGACGUGAUUCUGCGGGAAUUGGCUUCACUUAGAAUCACCUGCAGUAGUUGAACUAUUAAGGUCUGGGCCACACCCCACGGAUUCAGGUUCCAUUGCUCUGCGGUGGGGUUGGGCGUCAGUAUUUAAAGCUCUCCAGGUAACUCCAUGGUGCCCCGAGGUUGAGAACCACCGUCUGGGUCCUUGCAUCUCAAACUGCGGUCCUGAGACUGGCAGCGUCACCGAACCCUGGGAGUUUGUUGGAAAUCCACGGUCUUAGGCCCUCACCCCAGACCUGCGGAAUCAGGAUCUGCCUUUUAACAAAGUCUCCAGGUAACGUGUUUGCAUAUCCAGGUCUGAGAAGGCAGUUAAGUUCCUUUCUGGUUAAUGUCCCGUUCUAGUUGGCCUGGAAAGCUGUUGACCGCCCCAUGAAGGAAAGUGUUGUAUAUAUCUGGAGGCUGGAGGGCGGUCUGCCAUGCGAAAAUAUUUUACAGAGAAAGAGGUAUUGUUACCAUCAGAAUCAGUUGUGAUUCUGUUGUAGAUAACUGGCUUGGGAGACAGAAGGCAAAAAAAAAAAAAAAAAAAAAAAAAACACUCUUUUUCGACUUCGUUUCUAUUCUUGGUUUCUUAAAACCAUCACCAGGCAAAACAGGGGGGAAAAAGGCGCAGGGGGGGAGUUGUAGGAACCAAAUGGAUGGAAUGAAAUAAUCUGGCCCUGUGUAGUAGAAAAAUAGAAGGCAGAAAGUUACAUCUUCCUCUUGCAGAAAAAAGAAUGUGUUUCCUGUUUGCUCUCGCUGAGAGCCAGAGCAUAAUGCCUCAGUGUGUGCGGAGCUGCUGAACAAAGAACAUAGACGUGGCUGACGGGGCAGAGUGGGAACUGCCAAAUAUUGGCCCGGUUGGAAACCAUGUGACAAUCGCAACUCCUGAUUGCAUUGAUGGGGUGAGAGGGAAAAUGUGCAUUGCUCUAUAUCCUUUGCAGCUUCCCAUGAAAGACCGUUGAAGGUAAUUAAUGUUACCGUCCAGAGUUUUGUGGGAGCAUCGGAAGAUCCCCCAUGAUUGAAAGCUUUUUCUUGUUUUUCAGUACCAAGUUUAUAACCAAAUGACUUUCUGCAAGAAAGUCGACUUUACAGUAAUCCCAUGGCUGCCUGCAGAAAGGUUUCAAAAUUGGGACAUUUUCCAUUCAUGUUUAUCAUGUUCCAUAUGUCCUGUGAGACGCCCCUGGAAUCACAGAAAAAUGGACCCUGAAUUGCUGAACAGGGGGCCUUGUGGAUUCUCUAACUCAGUGGUUCUCAGUCUGUUUUUCUGGAGUCAACCCACCCAUACGUAGAGUAUCAAACUCUGCAGUUAGGAGCAUCGGUUCCAGAAAGCGUGAAUUCGAGGGUAGAGGGGUGCUCACGUUGAAACCAAAAAAUCCUUACUUCUGAUAUGCCCCAUAUACUGCGGGUUCUCAAACUCUGCUGUCCAUUGGAAUCAGCUGAGGAGCUUCACUGUCUUCUGCUCUCUGGUUUCCACCCCCAGGCAGGGAUUCGGAUUUAAUUGUCCUGGGGUGCAACCUGGCUGGGGAUGGUGGACGCCUCCCCACCCCAGGUGAUUCUCAGGCGCAGCCAACAUGAAGACUCACUGCCUCACUACACCAUCCUUCUCUCCCAGCAUUGCGAAUCGCUGUUUCGCCCUUGGCUUCAACGAGGAGGGGAGUAAGGCUGAGGGGUCAUGUUGAUGGCAGGUCUGAUGGAAAGGGACCAGUGGACUCCUAGGAGGACUUCGCUGUGGGGAGAGGUGCUGUCCGCUCGCUGCCCUAGUUUCUGGUGUAGUCAGGCCAGUAUGAGGAAGUUCGUGCUGCUCACCCUUCCCUGUAUCUUCCCCCGAGGUGGUUCCAGAGUCCUCCCGGAACUGGGAAACCCAAGGUAAUGAACUGAACUAACUCCACCUUGCUCAUCGUCAUUUGAGCUUGACUUACCUGUUUGUUACCAGCAGUAGAAACACUCCACAUUCAUCAGUAGACACACUAGACACGGACCAGACUGCAGUUAAUGUCGUUGGAAGACGAAGGCCACUGUUAGAGGGGGCAUCUGCAGCUUAGUACCGUACUUCAUGCGCCAACCAUUGAGAAUAAGGGCUUCGGUAUUUCACUGUCAUUAUCUUCGAUUCAGCAGUGACUCACGGUGGAGAGAAAUGGGACCCAGAAGAAGUCAUUCUCUAGGUCAGUGUUAGUCAGUCAUGUUGAGAGCUGGGGAAGUGACGAUGUCAGCAGAAGGAUGAGUGCUUAGGGUUUGAUGGCCUCCCUUCAUGGAGGCCGAGAGGGGAAAUGUCUUGAAAUUUGAGUACAGAGGGCUGGCUCAUAUAGGGGCUCUAUGCCUUCCAGGCCCUGUAACGUCAACAGUGCUGGGAACUUAUAAAUACUGUGGAUGUAUAAUAGAAGCAUUUUUCACAUGCUCAAGUAAAGCAGCUGUAUCCUGAUACAUACAGUACUAUAAACAUACAGAUGAAGGAAUGUGGCAUUUAUGGGGAAUGUCCUAAAGGCAUUGGGUUAAAUUAAUCAUUGAUUAAAUAUGAAAAUUCAGGAUGAGAUUUUGUUUUCUAAUUCAUUAGCUUAAAAUUUGAAUAAAUUUGCAUUGAUGCAUAUGCAGCAUGCGAAUCUUUGCAGCACUUAAUGGGAAAAACAAUAAGCAUUUUAUGCCUGUAGAAUCAGGAGAAGGGGAUAGAUAGCAAGGUCAACAUUGCAUUUCUGUUGCUCAUUUAACCAGUUACAAGUAUAUCACCGAAGUGUGCAGUGUUAAGGUUUUGUGCUUUUCAGAUGUGUUUUUUUCUGUGUGUUUUAGCUUUAAAAAAAAAAAAAAAGACGUGUCCGUUUUUCACUAGGGCCCAUUAUGAUAACAGUUGGAAGCAAUGGGGGUGAAAAACUACUCAAAAUCUAGCAUUUUACAAAAUGCUGUAUGGUUUUCCCAUAUAAGGCGAGCCUUGUUUUCCUGCCAUGCGUACUUUCCUUCUCUGCUCAUUCCCUGCUGUUGAACAUCUGCCUGCACUUCCUCGCUCUGUCGCUCUUCCUCACUCUCGUCUGUGGCAGUGACGCAAGGUGGAAGGACCUGGGACCAGAGGAGGUCGUCCCCGCACUGCAGUUGGUUUUCACACGCAGAGGGUGAUGAGCACCUUUGUGUCCUCAGGAGGGUGACCAUGCCCCACUCCCGUUCACGCAAGCCCUCCCCCUGCCUCUGGAGACUGUGCAGCGGAGGAGGCAGAAAUAGCGGAGGGCAGGAUGGGGAGUAGGUUCACUUCUGGAGGUCCUUGCCUUCUCCCUUCCUGAACAAACCUUCGUGAUGCCUCGACCAUUGCAAAACUCUAACAGAUAUUUUGGGAGGUUGCCUCUGUUCGUCCCAGGGGUAACUUACUGGAGGAGAAAGAAAGGUAUUGAGCUUACACUUCCUGGACAUGUAUUUGAAUAGCAAAGAAUUCUCCUUUUUCAGGUGGGAAGCAAGAUGAUUAAUGGAGUAUUUAGUUGCUUGUGUUAACUAAUAUGUUUGGGAUGAAAUAAAGUCCCAGAAACUUUGUUUUUUAUAUAGUGUCUGUAUACUUUAAAAUAACCCAGUUCUCCAUGUAUAAUUAUAGCUUACUUAUGCACAGUUUAUAUA